AGAUACAUAAUUAGGUGAUAUUCCUCUCUGACCACUGAAGAAUUCAUCUGGAUUAUGACUGAGUUCUAAUUUUGCUAAAUGAUUAGUCCCAUCUCUUUAGCGCCAAGAAGAGAAACUCUAUGGAACACAACGAGGAGAGAAGGGUAAGAAAGUGUGGAGUGAUGAGAAGUCUUCUGUUAACUAGGAGCUUUGGAAUAUGAAAGGCUCCUCUGGGAUGUGUCGGGAUGGAAGCGAAGUGUGAUCCGUGGGCAGAAUUUCUUCUUCAAGGAAAGCCCAAUACUAUUCUUCAGUCCUUUCAAGUGACUGGGCCAUCCCCAGAUUAUCCAGAGUAAUCCUCUUCCCUGAGAACCAUCUGACUUCAGAUGAUAAUCACAUCAAAAAUCCUUCAAAGAAAAACAUAGAUUGAUGUUUGAUUGAAUAAGUGUACUACAGAUUCUCUGGGCGCCUCCCCAAGCAGUAAACAUGAAGUUAUC